rnacentral:rRNA from 1 species
GGGUUGCCCGAGUAGCAGCGGGCUCGUGGAAUCUGCUGUGAAUCUGCCGGGACCACCCGGUAAGCCUAAAUACUCAGUGUGACCGAUAGUGUAUGAGUACCGUGAGGGAAUGGUGAAAAGUACCCCGGGAGGGGAGUGAAAUAGUACCUGAAACCGGUUGCCUACAAUCCGUCGGAGCGCUCACCUUGUGUGGGUGUGACGGCGUGCCUUUUGAAGAAUGAGCCUGCGAGUUAGUGGUACGUGGCGAGGUUAACCCGUGUGGGGAAGCCGUAGCGAAAGCGAGUCCGAAUAGGGCGAUUCAGUCGCGUGCUCUAGACCCGAAGCGGAGUGAUCUAGCCAUGGCCAGGGUGA